rnacentral:misc_RNA from 3 species
AACGCACCUUGCGCUCCUUGGUAUUCCGAGGAGCAUGCCUGUUUGAGUGUCUUGAAGUCAUCAACCCCUCCCGUUUCUUGCGGGAAUAGGGGAUUGGAGUUGGGGGCCUGCUGCCGUGAGGCGGCUCCCCUCAAAUGCAUCGGUUGGACCUGUGGGUCGAACUCGACUGGGCGUUGUACCAUCCUCGCUCGACCGAGAAGUUCCCCUUUUGGUGUCCUCCCACGACUUGCCUGUGGAGCGGCGGUCAAUGUACUUUGAAAUUCUGACCUCAAAUCAGGUAGGACUACCCGCUGAACUUAA